rnacentral:rRNA from 1 species
AACGUAGGAGGCGAGCGUUAGUCCGGAUUUACUGGGCGUAAAGGGCAAGUAGGUGGUUUAGUGCGUGGGGUUUGAAAACACCUGGCUUAACUGGGUGGGGAGCCCCAAACGGCUGGACUUUGAGGUAGGGAGAGGGAUGCGGAAUUCCGUGGUGUAGUGGUGGAAUGCGUAGAGAUCCGGAAGAACACCGGUGGCGAAGGCGGCCUGCUGGGCAGUUGCUGACACUGAUGCGCGACAGCGUGGGGAGCAAACAGGG